rnacentral:rRNA from 1 species
GAACGGGUGAGUAACACGUGGGCAACCUGCCCAAAAGAGGGGGAUAACACUUGGAAACAGGUGCUAAUACCGCAUAACCAUAGUUACCGCAUGGUAACUAUGUAAAAGGUGGCUAUGCUACCGCUUUUGGAUGGGCCCGCGACGCAUUAGCUAGUUGGUGGGGUAAAGGCUUACCAAGGCAAUGAUGCGUAGCCGAACUGAGAGGUUGAUCGGCCACAUUGGGACUGAGACACGGCCCAAACUCCUACGGGAGGCAGCAG